CUCAGGGCCUCCCCUGAGAGACAGGGCCCGGGCGGCUCUUUGCCCUUGUCCUCAAGUCCUCUACCCUGCGUUGGAGGGUGUAGUUGACCCUCUCUGACCACUUGCAGGGCCCUGCCUGGGAUGAGGGACAGUGAGCAGAUGGAUCCACCUCUGUCUCCAAGCGACCGAUGUCACGUCCAUCACUCACCAGAACCGUUCAGCCUCCUGGAAAUGGGCAGGGGCCAGUACCCACUGGAGUCCAGCAGUGACAGCCACGAAGCCCAUGUCCCAGCCUGAAGGCCCGGUGGCUUCUCGUCACACCUCGGGUCGCAGGGCAGCACCACAGCAGAAAGGGCACGGUGGGCAUCAGGGGCACCUCCUGGAUGGGAUAUGGACGGACACACCCACAUCUGUGCCAUCGAUGGAGGAAGGACCCCCGCCUGUCACACCAACAGCGUCAGACGCAGAGCUACCAAAUAGUGAGAUGUGCCACCUUGGCCAGGUGACCUCCAGGCCACUGUCCCAGCCUCAGUUCCUGGGACCUGGAUCUGGACCAUGGGGCAGAGCAGGGUGGGGACUGGUAAGCUGUGGUUUGUUACCUGAGAGGGUCUGAUGAGCCUAGGCAGGCCGUAAAAGGUGAGCGGGAAAGUCAGGUCAACGGAAAUGACCACCCACAGGACAAGAGAGGGCGGGGGGGGGGCAUCGGGGUCUGCCAUUCUGACUUCAAAGUCCAAGAAAUACUUCACGGAGGUGUGCAGCGCAGUGGACCCAGCUGAAGAGGCGAAGAGAGGGGGAAGUCAGUGCGCCCAACUUGGAGCUGGCCGGUCCCCCUUCCAGAAAGAUGUGCGCUAGCCACUUGAAAGCCGGGACUGAGGACGCCUGACCUGUGGGGUGAGUGCGUGUGAGCGCUUGUGCGUGAGCCCUGUGUCGGGUAAUCGUGCUGCGGGCCGUUGGGGAGCAGGGUUUUCAAAUGACAACAGAUAUAAGCCAAGGAGUCAAAGAAAAGCUGGGGAUCUCGCAGUCGAGCCGGAAAUAACCGGCAUGGGUCCCAGAGGCCUUCUGUCUUCACAAAGUGUGCGUCUCCUGCGCCGCACUCUUGGGAGGUCUCUAGGGCCUCAGAGCCACGGAGCGGUGGGCAGGAGCAGAUUCAGUGGGACUGAGCUCCAGGCUGGGGGUGGAGGUGGUGAAGGCUGCCCGGCAGGGACUGUGCCCAGGGCCCCUGGACUUGCUAGGUGCCCUCAAGAUGGGGAAUUUUACAUGAUUUUUCCCACAGUGAAAAAAAAAAAAGGUGGGUAUUCCUGGAUCCCAGCUCCUGGAAAGUUCUAGAAACAGUGGCCAGACCAGGAGUGAUGCGGGAAGCAGGGUCCGUGGGGAAGUGACCGGCUCAGGCUACGGAGGGUGUGUAUGGGCAGGCCUGGAACCGCAGCCUCUCUGAGAGCAAAACUCCAGAGACCUGGGGGCCUUCAGAAGCACACGCCGGGUGACUCCAAAGCCUGCCCCUGGCCACAGACCGGCCACUUGUCCCCAGAGGAUGUGAGCCCAGUGGCAUGCGGUGCAUUGUGGCAGACGCACCCCAUGUGACCUCUGUGAGGGGUGACCCAUGUGACACAGCUGAGUGUGGCCCUCCCAAGUGCCCGCAUUCACGUGCCUGGCUUUUAGGCAAGACUCUAGGGCAAAAGCAAAGCAGUUCUGCAGACGUGAUCGAGGACCCUGGUGGUCACAUUGGACGUUUUCCUGUGGGCCUGACCCAAUGGGAAGCCUCCCGAGGACAGUCCAGGCUUCUCUGACCUUAGAGGUGGACAAGCGGAGGCCCUCCCUGUCCUGCUGACUUUGAAGAAGGGGCUGCCAAGACUCCCUGAGCUGCAUGGAGAUGGGUCCCACUGGCCCCCUGCAGGGCCGAGAGCAGCUGAGCUGCUGACCCUCCCUCCCUGGGCCUGGAUCUCGGCCUCACGAGGCCCUGCCAGCCACACACCGGCAAGGCCAUGAGCAGUGGGCUGUUUCAGACCUUUAGGUGGUGGCAAUUCACAUUUGUGGUGUGGAUUUUAUAUAUCUCUCAUAGGAGAGUGUACCUUUUGUUUUCCCCCCGGUGCUGGGGAUGGAACUCAGGGCUCCACACUGGCCAGGCAAGCACCCUCCCACUGAGCCACAUCCCCAGCCUCAAAAGUGUGUCUUGGUCGAAUUCUUGCAAAUCACCGAUGAAGAAAUGCUGGGUUUGGAGGCCUGCUCUUUGCAACCCCUAGAGGGAUCAUGGCUCUGGUGCGCAGCUGGGGCUUUGCCCGCACUCUGGGAGAAAUCGCAGUGUCUGGAAACAAGCUUGAUUGUCACCGCGGGAUGCUGCUGGCUCCCAGGGGGUAGGGACCAGGAAUGCACAGGACCCACACCACCAUCACGUAGCUGGCAGACAGUCCCCGAGGGACCUUAGUGACCCUGCUUGCUGUUGUCCAUGCUUUUAUCCCGUCCCCUCCCCUCGAGAGCGGGUGCACCUGUGACUUGCUCCUGACUAAUGGAAUAUUGCUUUGGGGGCAGUUGUCACACCCAGGACAAUGUCACAGUAUUUAUGGUGCCACAGUCACUCUCUCCUGCCAUCCUGGAGAAGCAAGCCGCCUGGCCUGGACUGCCCAGGAAAGCCAGCCCCGCAUGCCCCAGGGCUGUAGUCAUGGGAGCACCUGGGUCCCACAUCCACCAGGAGCUGAGCUCCGUCCAACUCACAGCACAGUGAGCCCAGAAGCUCCUGCGCUCCAUCCUCAGAUGAGAACCAGUCCUGGUGGCCGGGGCCGGGACCCUGAAGAGAAGGCCCAGCCCAGGGCCCGAGUGCUGCCCUGCGGGAACCGAGACAGCAGCGUGUGAGCAUUGCUUGAAGCCCGCCACUGGAGGCCCGCAGCGCAGGGCUGGCAAGCCCUGGCCGAGACUCGUCCUUCCUGUGAGGGAAAGGAAGGGUGGUGAGCGUCCUUGGUCUUGCAGGCCUUCUGGUCUGUCACAACGGCCCAGCUCUGCAGUUACUUUGUAACAAAAUCACCAGCUUUGCAGCCACGUCCUGGCCCAGGAAACGGGCUCUGAUGAGCCCCUGGAGCAGGGCAACAUGGAGUCAGACACAGGAAGGAGGCCAAAGUGGAUGGACUGACGGACCCACAGACCUAAAGACCCUGCCCUGCAGCUGGACUGCUCUGACUCUCAGGGGCUCCUGCCUGAGGUCAGGGUCAGGGCAAGGGUUCCUGCACCUCGGGUCCCCGACUGGGUCCCGUUCGCAGUGGAACCAGCUCUGCAGAAGUCAAGGCCACAGGCCCUGGAACCCAGGAGAGGUGGGCAGCAAGCCCUGAGCUGCCACGCGUGGCCGGACACACCAUGGCAGGCAGAGGACAGCGGUGCCGGAGAGUGGGUCCUGUCCGGCGGGUGGUGCUGGUGAGGGUGCCUGGAGGAAGGUGGCAGGGCCCGUCCCCGAUCCUGCGGGAUGAGGCUGGAUUUGGUCUGCAGCAGGUGCUGGCCACCCUCAGACCCCAUACGCCCAGCAGGGAACCAAGGCCAAGGCUGUGUUCAGGGCUGAGGGUGGAGAUGGGAGCCUCGAGCUCCAGCCCCGCACUGCCCGGCCGGCACCCGCUCACGCCCUCGCCCACCGGCACCUGCUCUGGGGCAAGGGCAGCAGUCCUGUGCCUGUGUGCAGCUGUCCUGCUGGGCAGUGCCAGGUACAUGGUGGCCACGGGGAGUCAGGCUCACCCCUUCUGCGGCUGACUGAGGGCUUCCCCAAGCAGGCAGCAGGGCGGGACGAGACACCCUCUUCUGGUCCCCUGGGGAGCUGGGACGGCCUCUGGGGUUUCACCUUGAAAGAGAGUGCACCUGCUUGUGUGUGCUGUGCACACACGUAUCUGCGUGUCUGCGAGUCACACGCCUGUGCCUGUGCCUGUGCCUGUGCUCCCACACCCCGGGGAGGAGAGCCCCCUGCCUUCUCAGGAGGAGCUCGUGGGUGGGCGGCAGGGACCCUGUCGCCAAGUCCACUGGGGGAAGCCAGAGGGGCUCCCUUGGGGGCCCAACCCCUUGCCUUCUCUCCACUCCCUCACUGGCCCUGUAGCCCCGCCCCCUCUGCGCGUGGUCUGCCUGGCACUCUCCAGCCUGCCGAGACCCACACCCCACGCCCCACCUGCCUGCUCCCCUGGGAGUCCCCAUUUCCGCCCAUGACCCCACGCUGCUUUCUCCCAGGGCCAGGGCUGGACGGGUUCUCAUUUCUCCCUCUGUCCUUGAGCUGGUGGCCUCUCCGCCCGCCAGACCGUCCACUGUCCUGACCCCGGCACACCUGGCUCCUGGGUGUCUGGAGCUGUGUGAGGGCCUCAUGCUCCUGGGCCACUCUCCUCGUCUCCCAGCCGCUGGGGACUUCGGUGCUGUUGCCUGAUCUUGGGGCCCGAGGCCUCUGGGUUGGAGGCUGGGGGAGAUCCAAGGUCAGGAGGCCAGAGCUCCUCCCAAGAUGAUCUGGGGUCCUGGGGUCCCAGGGAUCCCUGCCCAGAGUUUGUGUGGGCAGGAGAGGGUCCUGGGGGAGGGCUGCCCAGAGGGGACCCGUCCAGAGGAUUCUGCCCAGCCCAGACCCCCCAGGCCUGAGACUUCUACCCAGAAAGCCAGUCCUUGUGGGGAGGGAGCCCUGGCCGGGAACUCUGCACCGCCAGGGCCCCUGGACGGCCCUCCUGGGAGGAGGAGGGCCUGCUGUGGCUGUGGUGGAGGGGCCCAGCUAGAGGCCUGUGUACGGAAGGGGGCGCUCAAAGGCCUGCCAGGCGCGGAACUGGAGGGCAGGGCGGA